rnacentral:rRNA from 1 species
UACGAAGGGGGCUAGCGUUGCUCGGAAUCACUGGGCGUAAAGCGCACGUAGGCGGAUCUUUAAGUCAGGGGUGAAAUCCUGGAGCUCAACUCCAGAACUGCCUUUGAUACUGAGGAUCUUGAGUCCGGGAGAUGUGAGUGGAACUCCGAGUGUAGAGGUGAAAUUCGUAGAUAUUCGGAAGAACACCAGUGGCGAAGGCGGCUCACUGGCCCGGUACUGACGCUGAGGUGCGAAAGCGUGGGGAGCAAACAGG